CCAACAUCUCAGCAGACAUCUUAAAACUCUGGACGCUGUUACAGCUUCAGGAGGAUCUGUCUGCUGGGCUUUAGAACGUCACGUUAACCAGGCAUUUACAGAGUUAAGGUUCCUCUAUCUGUUGGGCUUUAGAACGUCACGUUAACCAGGCAUUUAUAGAGUUAAAGUUCCUCUAUCUGUUGGGCUUUAGAACGUCACGUUAACCAGGCAUUUACAGAGUUAAAGUUCCUCUAUCUGUUGGGCUUUAGAACGUCACGUUAACCAGGCAUUUAUAGAGUUAAAGUUCCUCUAUCUGUUGGGCUUUAGAACGUCAUGUUAACCAGGCAUUUAUAGAGUUAAAGUUCCUCUAUCUGUUGGGCUUUAGAACGUCACGUUAACCAGGCAUUUAUAGAGUUAAGGUUCCUCUAUCUGUUGGGCUUUAGAACGUCACGUUAACCAGGCAUUUACAGAGUUAAAGUUCCUCUAUCUGUUGGGCUUUAGAACGUCAUGUUAACCAGGCAUUUAUAGAGUUAAAGUUCCUCUAUCUGUUGGGCUUUAGAACGUCACGUUAACCAGGCAUUUAUAGAGUUAAGGUUCCUCUAUCUGUUGGGCUUUAGAACGUCAUGUUAACCAGGCAUUUAUAGAGUUAAAGUUCCUCUAUCUGUUGGGCUUUAGAACGUCACGUUAACCAGGCAUUUACAGAGUUAAAGUUCCUCUAUCUGUUGGGCUUUAGAACAUCAUGUUAACCAGGCAUUUAUAGAGUUAAGGUUCCUCUAUCUGUUGGGCUUUAGAACGUCACGUUAACCAGGCAUUUAUAGAGUUAAGGUUCCUCUAUCUGUUGGGCUUUAGAACGUCACGUUAACCAGGCAUUUAUAGAGUUAAGGUUCCUCUAUCUGUUGGGCUUUAGAACGUCACGUUAACCAGGCAUUUAUAGAGUUAAGGUUCCUCUAUCUGUUGGGCUUAAGAACGACAUGCUAAACAGGAAAUUACAGAGUUUGGGUUCCACCAUUUGUUGGGCUUUAGAACACAGUUUGGAUUCCACUAUCUGUCUCUCUG